CGGAAAUUUAACACCAUGGAUCCCAGUUAAGUUUCCUGGCGGGCGGACAAAAACGAGGCGCGCCGAACCGGGCCGAAACUGACGCAGACUGUGGUCCACAGAGCGGGGAGACAGACGAGGAAGUCCACGAGUUGUGGAGCGGGGGCACUGGUGCCAAUCCCAGCUGACAUUGGGUGAAAGGCGGGGUACAUCCUGGACAGGUCGCCUGUCCGUCACAAGGCCAUGAAUUCAAAUCACUUACUAAAGAAAUGUUUCAAAUGCUUCAGCCUUUGAUCAAAUGAAUUAUUCGAUAUAAUCUGCCUGUUUCUGACAUCUCUGCACACACCACAAGUGCAGGUGGCAGUGAUCCUGUUUUCAAACCACAUGGCAAACCUAUUUUAAACUUGAAACAUGGAGUCUGGGAGCAAUACGCCCUCUAGUGGAUCUGGCUGACAAAACUCCACAAUGAACUCCUCUUCACAGUCCAGCAGCAGCCUGGACCAUGCACUCAUGUCUAGUUGGCCUGCAGUGCCACCAUACUCC